UUACAAAUGAUUGCGUUUCUAAGUCUAGUAUCUGAAAGUAUGGAGAUUAACAUUGAGAGUGAUGGAAAGAUGAGUGGUAUAAAGUAUUCAUUCCAUUUUAACGUAUAUGAUAUUAUGACUCAUAAUAAGAAAUAUGUAUUUGAUCUUCCCAGGUUCCAACAUGGAACUCCUUAACCCUUGGAAUUUCCUAAGAGAAUAAAAAGGUGUCUUUUGUUAAGUUAAUGAGUAGCACCUGAGGGCUGGUUGCCAGUAGAAACUCUGUGUGAUUAGAGGGUUGAAACCUUCAAUGGGAUCCUACCACCCCACUGCUCAUCUUCCUGUAGGAGAAAGGUGCUGGGGCUUGAAUUGUUUGCCAGCGGCUGAUGAUUUAAUUAAUCUUGCCUCUAAUGAGGGAGGCUUCCUUAAAGUGAAAAAGAAGAGGUUUGAGUGAGCUUCCAGAUGGGGGAACACUUGGAGAUUUGGGGAGAGGGACAUGCUGGGAGAAAGCAUGGAAACCCCAGGCCUUUUCCCCACACCUUGUUCUUUGCGACUCUUCCAUAUGGCUGUUCCUGAGUUAUAUCUUUUUUAUAAUAAACCACUAACCUCCUGAUGAAAAGGUUUUCUGAGUUCUGUAUGCUGCUCUCGCAAUGUAACGGAAUCCGAGGAUGGAAACUGUAAUCUACAACAGGUUGGUCAGAAGAACAGGUAUCCUCUUCUCCUGAAGUUGGAUUUUGAUACUAACACUACUCUAAAUCAGUAAAACAGAGUUACUCUCAAAGAUGCAAUUUAUAAAAAGGGAAAGAGGUAACAUCAUCAAGAAUAAACACUGCAUUAUCAAAAUGAAGCUCUACUCUACUGUUAAGGAAAGCAUCCCACCCCACCUGUGUUCACCUGGAGCCUUUGCUAAUCUGUUCCACCUGAAGGCCAUCCUUUCCCUGCAGGACUUCCAGGCAACAACCUAAACCCCACCUUAAUGCCCUGCCUGCCCCUGUAGCAAAACCUACAGAAGCCCUUAUACCUCCAAAAUAGACCCUCUCUUCAGAUUUAUCAAAUAUUUUUGAAAAUAUGAUAUAAAAUAUUGCAUAAGAUCAAUUCUUAAUAAAUGCAUUAUAAUGAACUAUACCCCUAUAUAUUUUAUUAAGGUGUUUUUUCCCCCCUGUGUGGUAUAAACACAGCUAUGGAAAGUUCUUGCCACUACUAUCAAAGGAUAUUGCUAUUUUCAAGUUCUGGACCCAUAUGAACCAAAUGACAUUCAGAAGUGUUGAACUAUUUUCAUAUCAGUAAUGUCUGUCUUGCCAAACCUUUGCUAAAAUGGAAAGUUUUAAUUAAGGAAAGGUGUUUUAUCAAUUUCUAGUCUUGAAAAAUAUGUUGUAAUUCUAUCAAUUAAUCCUCAAGUAAUAAUGAUUUUGCUCAUUAUUACAUUUUUAUUGAUCCUUGUACCUAUUCUCAUAUUUGUACUGGCAUAUUCAUUAUUUUUUACAUUCGUUAUAGGUACUAUUAGACAUAAUAUCAAUAAUUCAUUACAGAUAUUGACAUAUUCCCUAAUCUUGCCUUACACUUUCAUAUAGUAUUUUAUAAAUAGUGAAAUUUUAAUUUAUAUGUACUUAAAAUAUUAACUGUUUUCUGGAUAGUUUUUUUGUUUUUAUGCUUAGGUCUUCUAUCUCGAGCAUUUUCACCAAUGUUUUCUUUAAAUUGGUAAAUUAUUUAGAAAUGUAUUUUUAAUAUUCUGCUGUCUGAAAUAUGCAUAUGCUAAAAGAGAUACUUUUAGGUUUUCAAAUUAAAACAUUUC